rnacentral:rRNA from 1 species
GGCGCACGGGUGCGUAACGCGUAUAGAAUCUGCCUUCUACAGAGGGAUAGCCUUUAGAAAUGAAGAUUAAUACCUCAUAAUACUGAUUAGUAGCAUUACUAUUUAGUUAAAGAUUUAUCGGUAGAAGAUGACUAUGCGUCCUAUUAGCUAGAUGGUAAGGUAACGGCUUACCAUGGCUACGAUAGGUAGGGGUCCUGAGAGGGAGAUCCCCCACACUGGUACUGAGACACGGACCAGACUCCUACGGGAGGCAGCAGUGAGGAAUAUUGGGCAAUGGAGGCAACUCUGACCCAGCCAUGCCGCGUGCAGGAAGACUGCCCUAUGGGUUGUAAACUGCUUUUAUACAGGAAGAAACCGCUCUACGUGUAGAGCCUUGACGGUACUGUAAGAAUAAGGACCGGCUAACUCCGUGCCAGCAGCCGCGGUAAUACGGAGGGUCCGAGCGUUAUCCGGAAUCAUUGGGUUUAAAGGGUCCGCAGGCGGUCAAUUAAGUCAGAGGUGAAAUCCCGUCGCUCAACGACGGAACUGCC